CCCUUAGAUGUUCUGGGCCGCACGCGCGCUACACUGAUGCAUUCAACGAGCCUAUCCUUGACCGACAGGUCCGGGUAAUCUUUGAAUCUGCAUCGUGACGGGGAUAGAUUAUUGCAAUUAUUAAUCUUCAACGAGGAAUGCCUAGUAGGCGCAAGUCAUCAGCUUGCGUCGAUUACGUCCCUGCCCUUUGUACACACCGCCCGUCGCUCCUACCGAUUGGGUGUGCUGGUGAAAUGUUCGGAUCGGCCGUUUGUCGCGGUUUCCGCGUCAUGUGGCUGAGAAGUUCAUUAAACCCUCCCACCUAGAGGAAGUAAAAGUCGUAACA
rnacentral:rRNA from 1 species